UGAGCUGUGUUUGUCUUGGUCCCAAAACAACCCCAGGGGAGGAGACUGGAUGUGAUUCUAAUUUGCUGUAAUCGCAGUUGAUAUUAUCAUUGUUUUGAAGAUUUGUAUUUUCUCUGACAAAAUGUCAAACAUACGAGGCAAAUUUUAUUCUGAAUUUUAAAUUAAAUAUUUAAAAAUACACGAGUGGUUUGAAAACAGUUAAUUGUACUCCAGUUAUCCAUCUUUUGUGACAAUUCCCAUUCUGACUGGCAGACUGUUAUUUGGUGGGGGGUGGGAGGGGGUCAGUGUCAGGGGAGGGUGAAUGGAGCUACAUCUGGUACAGUUGGUUCUUUCCUGUUCUCUAGCAGAAGUCUGAGACUAUUCUCAACUUCUUUUCAUGAAGAAGAAUUAGCAAAAAUAAAUAAAUACAAUAAAUGCUGUCAAAAUUGUGACUGUGGUUCGGGGCAUUAUGACUUAAGUUUGUGAGCAUGAAUCUCUUCCCUAUAGGAGCUCAGGUAAAUUCUCCUUUAGGAAACAAAACGCUUAGAAAUUUGUAGCUGGAAUAGUUCAAUAUUCUCCUCUCACAGAUGUGGGGGAGUACGUGAACCAUGGCAAAUUGCUUAUUUGAUGCUGAAUUUUUCCCUUCAUUAUGAAAAGCACAGCUAUAAUGCCAUAGUUAUGAAAUCCAUAGAGCAAGGUUAAUCCUUAGGUGGGAAUUCACAUAGGUAAUAAUAACUCUUCGUUUUCCCUAUCAAAAACAUCUUCAUAUUUAAAUACAAUGCCAUUCAAGGCGUUUUUUGUGUGUAUGUGUGUGUGUGAAAUGUUUGGUAUGGCUUGAUGAGGACUCAAAUAUUCCAUAGUAAUCAAAGACACUUAGGCAAUUUUUCUUCCUGUAAGUAAUUUUAGCUAAGAAAGCAACCAGAGUUAAGUACUGCAUAUGGGCAGGAAAAUAAGGUACUUUAGGGUUUAUUUAUUAUAUGCUGAUAUCCCAGUGAGAAACAUAUUUUCAGGCAAGGAACAAAGGAACAAUAGAUGUUCGUGAAAAUGUAACUUCCCAGCAGCAUUUUACAAUUCAAAGUUUCAGCUUCUUUUCAUUUGUUGUUAGUAACAAACUUGGAAGAAUCUUUUUUUUAAAAAAUGUUUCUGAAGGUGCUUGCUUCUUUUAAUCUUCAGUUUUAAAUGUAGAUACUGAGUGAUUGCUGCAUAUCUUGAGACGAAAAAAGAGACAGUGAUUAUGAAUCGUGACUUUGAGAGUUUUAUUGUCUUACUUGACAGGAUGGACAUUUUAUAUAUACAAUAUAAAAAUAUUUUAUCAUUUUAUAUAUAUAAUAUAAAAAUAUUUUAUAUUUGCUUAU
rnacentral:lncRNA from 1 species